rnacentral:rRNA from 1 species
AAAUAGAACUUUGCAGAGAGAGUUAAGAGGGCGUGAACCGUUAAUUGGCAAACGAAUCGGAGCCACGAAGUCGUUUCGCCGUUGAGUCGGGGCCAAGUUCAGCUGGUAUUCAUCCGAGUAUCGGUGUAUUCUUGGUCUGGCCAACUUUGUAAGCGUACACUGCAACUGGUUAGACGAUUGGUAAUGGGCCAAGUUGGCUUGCCGAGCAAUCGGCUUGUUGACGACGCAUUUGUAUGCUCGUGUUAGCAGUGGCGCGGUGCCUCUCGGGGUACUCGCGUUGCUUGGCGCGUGGCAUGUGAACUAUCACCAAAUACUGACCAGCGAAAUGAAAAUCGCCUCUUGGCGUUAAAGAUAAAGCGGCUAGUAACAUAGGUGUCUACACGCACGACUGUUGGGUCUAAGCUCGGCAUCUUUGAAUUCAGACUUGCUUGCUAUCAGUGGGGCAACUCCUGGUGCUUGUAUAGCUUCUGUCUAAUCGGGUGUUGACUUGGCCUAGCAUUGUUCGGACGUGAACCGAUUGGAUGCAAAUGUGAACUAGUUUGCAAUAUGAAUUGGCAGUGAGUAGGUCGGCUUUCCGAACGACCCGUCUUGAAACACGGACCAAGGAGUCUAAUUAGGCAUCGAUCGGUCUUGAUAGGCCAGAUAGGUGCGUUUAUCCCACCGACUGAAGGCGUAGAGAAAUCAAAUCGUGUGAUCCAAGUGGCAAUAACAGCCAUUCGGCGCAACAUGUGCCUGUUCAAUGGCUAGUGUUAGCAAUAACCUGCCGAGCGGAACAAAAAAAUGCCUGAUUGGGACCCGAAAGAUGGUGAACUAUGCCUGGGCAAAUUGAAGCCAGAAGAAACUCUGGUGGAGGAUUGUAGCGAUUCUGACGUGCAAAUCGAUCGUCAAACCUGGGUAUAGGGGCCAAAGACUAAUCCAACCAUC